GAACUUCAUCACUGACCUUGAAAAUGCGGUUUUUCACUGAAGUGGUUUUUCUUUCUCCUCCAGGGAGCUUUUGUCACUACCUCAACAGACCGUUCUAGAGGUGAAAAUAUGGAGUUGUUUCAGCUGCUCUCUCCAUUGUUUGCACUGCCAGCAAGGGCUGCAGGAUCUCCUGCUACUUAACUGGUAUUUAAUUGCUCCUGCUAAGGCCCUCUGCGUUGUGAAGAACAGCAUAUCUUUUUGGAAAAAAAAAACAACAAACCAACAGGACAGUUUCUAGGAAUUGCCAUUGCCAGAAAUGCGAGCGGAGGGUGUUUUGAUAAAGAAUCUCAG
rnacentral:lncRNA from 1 species